CCGAUCUAGGUAUGUUCUUCUACUCAUCGAUAGAUAUUAAACCACAAUACCGAUUAUCCAAUUGUCGCUUAGAGCUUGCUAGCUGGACUUCAAAAAAAAAAAAAAACUCAGCCCAAUAACUUAAAUAAAAACUAUCAAAUAGUUCAAUGUUUAUUUUGAGACUUUUUGGAGUUAAGUGAUCAAAACAUAAAAAUGUUAAUAAUUUAAUUAUAUUAAAUGUAGUUUACAUAAAAUAAAAAUAAAAAGAGAAUUAAGAAGUUUCCAUUUUUGGGCCCAAAGAACAGCUUGUAAAGAUCAAAGGAAAAUUAAAUUUGGCUUAAUAGAGAAUCUUGGUUUUUAGAGUUUUUUCAGCGUGUUCAUAUUUACAAGCUUAUAUUGCUUGUAUCUUUAAAUGAUUUGUUUACAAAGGUAAAAUUUUAUUAUUAGUCCCUAUAUUAUAUGCAAGUUUUGAAUUUUGUUACUUCAUUAUAAUUUGGUUCAUUUUUGUUUCCAAACUUUUUAAAUUUUAAAAUUUUAAAAAAUCUACUAUUAAUCGUGUACUAUGCAUAAGGUUUGAAUUUAGUCCUUAUUAUUUAGUUUGAUUAUUUUUAGUCCUUAUUCAAACAAUAGUCAUUAAUCUCAUUAACUAAAAUAACAUGCUUUUUAUGAGUAAUAAGGGGAAACAACAUGGUAACAUGGUAUUACACACGUGAGACUAUGUUUAUCGUACGAUAUUUAGAAAUAAUAAAUUUAAUGCCAGUUAAAUUCAAAUUUAGUGCAUGUACCACGCGUAAGUUGUUAAAUUUUUCCGUAUAUUUUAAUUUGAUCAUUUUUAAUCCCUAUAAUUUUUUAAUUUUAAAAAUUUUUAUUUUUGACCAAACGGUAGUUGUUACAUUCAUUAUGUUAUGCUAUUUCCAAAACUUGACACAACAAGCAUAUUAUUACAUAUGUAAUCUCAUGCUAGCUUGUUAUUUCCAUAUAUUACUUUGAGAAAAACAAGUUCAUGGAUUUAACAAUUGUCAUUUGUAUCUAACACUAAAAUAUUGAAAUUGAAAAGUAUAUGACUAAAAAUCAUCCGAAUAGAGGCCAUGAACUAAACCUACAGCUUUACAUAUAUACAAGGACUAAUAACAAAAUUUAAUCAAUUGAAUUUAAAAGACUAAAAUUUCAAAUUUCUAAAAAUGUCAAAAGAAAAAUACAUUUGACCAAAUUAACAUAGACUAAAUCUAUUAUUUACGCAAAAUAUAGACACCAAAAGUAAAAUUUAACCAUUUAACACUUACUAAUUAAGUCAUGGGCUGAAAUUUCAAAAUUUAAAAAAAAAAUACAUAAAAUAAAAAUAAUGUGCAUAAAAUCUCAUACACCAUCGAUAAAAAAUGACACGAUACAUUUUCAUUAAAUUAAAUAAAAAAUAUAAAGAAGUUAUAAAUAAAUACUAUUAAUUUUAUUUAUAAUUUAAAAAUUUAAGAUUUAAUUAUAAGCAAUAGUAGAAUCAUGGUAGGUCCCAUGAAAGAGUCCUUGUAUGGCCUGCAUCGCACAGAUAUAAACAUAAGAGAAUUGUGUGAAGAGGGGACAAAAGGGCAUCCACUAAAAGUAUGGUAUGGUUAUAAAAAAGAAGUGGAAAAUGAUUUGUAUUUAAGACAAUAUUAAAUAUGUGGGUCUACUUCAGAUUUGCAUUUUCAAGGAAGAUACCACAAGCUUCAGUUUUGUAAUUUUUGUUUCUUGGGACAGAAAUUAAUAUCUGAGGAAUAUUGGCUUUCUUCUUAAAAUUAUAAAUAAUACAAUUAUAUAAAUUACAGAGAAAUAAAAAAUCAUAACAACUGCACAUGAUAAAAUAAAAGUAGAAGACUUAUACAUGAAAAAUUGAGUUUAGAAACCCGAAGAUCCAAGGCUUCAGUCUUGAUAAUCAAUAAUACCAAGAUUUCUUGCAAAUUCCAUGGUUUUGUUGUGAUUAAAAAUGAAACCCAUUAGAGAUGUAAUUUUUUUCUUUUUUUCCAAAAGUUGAUUUCAUAAAGUUUUACACAUACCAAAUGCCAACAAAGCCACAAAUCCAGUUACAAUGAACACUUGUACUAGACAAAGCCCCAAAAAGCUAAUAAAUUAAUUCUUUAAAAAGUCUUCCCACCGAAUUUUAAAACAAUAAAAACAAACAAGAGAUCCUAACAAGUUAUGACGAUUUUUUCAAUCAAUAACACUUUCAGCGGUGAGUUUUUUUUUUUUUUUUUAAACAGUUCCUUGCUCUCGUGGCAGUAAAAACAUCUUUUAACUUGAAACAACAAAUGUAAUCUCUAAAAAUAAAUCACAAAUCACCCAACAGAUAAAAAGAAAACAAGUCACCACAAAACUCAAGCGACAAACUCCACAACACACAAUCACCCAAACAUUAUUCUCAUAUAGAUUGUACACUACAAUUUUUUUUUUUUUUUUUUUGUGGACAAAAUAUUAAACCUCAAAACUCAACAAAUGUUCACACAGAGCAUGUUCCACAUGGGCCAUGUUUUACCUAUUCACCCGUUAUUGCAUUACCACUUUGACAACAAUUAUUGAGAUUUUUAUAAUUGGGUCAAUUCAUUGUAUAUUAUAUAUAUAUGUGCCUCUUAGUCACUUCUUAGUAAGGUCAAUUCAUAUACAUAUAGACAUAGUUCAAAGGAUUAUUCAAAAAAUAUAGUUUAAAGGAAAAAAGGAAAAUGCUAUUUGCCAAGGUAUCCCCAUUCUAUCAAGUGGAAAUAUAUAUAUAUAUAUCAUCUAUAUGUAUGAAUAGAUCAUCCCUGUAUUAAAAAUAGGCAGAUGUUACAAAAGAAUAUACUCCCUUUCAACAUAUAUUUUUCUUUUGUUGUUUUUAAACUGAUAUAGUACAAAUUAUGUACACAAUCCCUCCCAAGAAACCAUUUCUACUCUUUAAUAUUAAGCAAUGGUGCUUUUCUUUUAGACCAACCGUGAAGGACAAAGUUCAAAUAUAGCAAGAACCUGAAUUGAAGUUCCAUUUCAUGGCUGUUUUGUUCAUGUUUAGAGCAGUGUAGCAUUUAGCAUUUUCUCCAACAUGGUAAUCGAAGAGACUAUGACCACCAUAAAGCUUCUUGGCCACCGAAGAAGAAGCACAAACCAAUAUUCGAUUGAUUCCGUAUGUCCGUAUGUUUUACUCAGCUUGUUUCGUGAAUACCUGUGAAAACUCUUGCAACCGAAAGUGCAUCAGUGAUGGUGACUAGUCAGGUUUAGUGUACUCAAGUAGCAUGUGCGGUGAUCUGUAAAUCUUCACUAGGGUCCAGUAAAGGACCUCUUCGACUCCAAGCUCACCCUCUGCUCUUGCAGCAUAUAUAUCCUCACAAAUGGCUAUCAACCUACAUCAAAACCGGAUAAACGGGUGUAGGUGAAAUAAGAAAUGAAUGUAAAUGUUCUCCAUGCUUUCGUCCUUUAGCCUUCGGCAUAAGGAAUUCUACCAUAAAAUUUUCUUAUAAGGAUGCAUAUAUAUAUGUACGUGUAUAUAUAUUACCUGUCACAGGAAGGCAGGUUUUCAUACGGUAUUCUCAUUCUUAGGUCGGAGCAUUGAAGCCUGAUAAACCGGCCAACAGCUAGUACAAAAGUUAUGUAGAGACCCCAAAUGCUGAAUUUGCUUAGUGUGUCUCCAAGAAUACCCUCUGUUGCAGUAUUGCAAUAUUAAUCACGACGACAAAAAAAAUCAUAAAAAGUUACUAUCGAAAUAAAUAUACAACAAAAAAUAGUUUUCGAGAACUGACGUGGUGGAGUUUCUUCGGAUACUACAAUGGCCAUUGGUCCUGUGAAACCUCCACAGUGAACCAUAUCAGAUGAAUUGAUAAUAUGGAAGGACCACCACUCGAAAGUUGCUCGAUUGAUAACAAGAUCUGCACUCACUGAACUGACUGAAUUUACCUGUAGAAUUUGGUUUCAAGUCAAUGAUAUAUUAUCAAUGGCAAUAAUAGAAAACAGAAGUUAACAAUGUAUCAUGAAAACAAAACCCGAAUGAAAAGUGCUAUAUACCUCUUGCUCAAAAGUUCUGACUUCACCAGAACCGGUAACACGGAAGUAUCUUGAAUAAAGAUUGUAUACCCUAAAGCCAUUUGCAGAGCCAUUGAAAACCUUUUGAACAUCAGAUCGAUCGGGAAGAUCCUUAGGAUCUAGAGGUUUUUCAUAUUUCACAACUUCCUUGCCUUUUGGCCGAUCCCUUGAAAGCAGCCAAGUAGAUGUGAUACCCAUGUCCAUAUCCCAGUCAAGGGACUGAAUAAAUCUUCUCUGAACGACGUUGGGAACGAGCCACAAAGUACUCGCAUCUGCUUGGCAGCAUAUCAAUUGUACAUCAUUCUUAUUGUAGGUGUCCAAAUAAUUUAGGGGAUCUAGACUAGCAUCGGAAUUGAGCUUAUCCCAUGGGAUCUUUUCACAGAGGGUAGUAUGAUACAAGGUCAACCUUCCACCAAUGGUACUGAUGUCUAUUUGAAAAGUUGCAUCUUUGAUGGGGUUUGCAAUAUUUGUCGGAUUGCCACUGCUGUACAUCUGGCAGAACCAAAGCAAAACAAAGUUAUUGAUGGAUCGAGUUAUAGAAUGCUUCUUCCACCUGAUCACAAGUAACAAUAUACCUAGAUAUCCAUAGGUGUACAUGACUUAUGGUAAAAACAUUAACGAUGCCUGCAGGCCCACAAGUAACGAUAUACAUUUUCCUCAUUUUCACAAUAGCAAUCUACAAAUUACAAAACCCCAUUUCCCGACAAAAAUACAUGCACACAAGAUAUUAGUGGCACAUACAUCCAAGAACAUGGAGUUGUUUUAUAAUGCUUCAAGCAGAAAGUUGCCAACUCAAGUGUUUGUUUUACAUAUUCAGUGGUCCUGGACACCUAGUAUUUGCAUGCACAUGACUCACUAUCCACAUGGAAAAUUACGAAGGAAACAGGUCCUAGCAUACCAGGAAUGAGAAAGAAUAACAAAAUGCCAAUAAUCAAAUGGAAUCCCUUCUGAGAAAAGUUUCUCAAAUGGUUUUUAGGUAAUAAGUACUAGACAUCGAAAAACAUAUCGUGCAAAUAGUAGAUCUGGUUAACGGUUAUGAAGUCUCUUACCAGCAUAGGAGCCCAGAUAACACAAAUUAAGAUAAAGAACAGACAUAUCCCAUUGCAGCACUUGGUCAUUUUUGUUUGCUUUUCUCCUUGUUUGUGCUGAGCUCUAUUCAACAAAGCAUCGCAUUUCACGAGGUACAGGCUUGCAUUUAUGUCUUCCAGCUAAGGAAAAAAGUGACAUGUUAGUUCUAAAAAUCAACAAGAAACAAUUCAAUCAAAGAAUCCCUGCUUACUGAAAAUCAAAACAACUAUUCUUUAUAAAUAAUAAUAAUAAAAGAAACUCUGAACUUACUUUGAGCCAGUCAUACAUGGUCAAAGAUGUUGUUGUGCAUGACCAGUCAAGUACACAUCGUAAUUCAUAAAGAAAUGGUAGAGCCCGAUAAAGUCUAUAGCCUAAGUAAUUAAUUCGUGAGACCUCACUGGUCAAAAACUGUCGAAACAAGGUGCUUUUAUGAGGAAUUCCAUGUCGGAUUUGUACAGCCUGAAGUGCUAGAGAAACUGCUUUAGCAAGAAAUAUAGCACGCAGUACUAGCCGUGCAGCAUGCUGGUCGGAAGGUUCCAUUCGCCAAGCAUACUGUGUAAUCGAAUAUGUGAAGAGAACAAAAUUGAAAAGGUAGAAAACAACUUUUGCUGUUGCAAAUGAACAGAGAUAAAGUAUUCGAUCAACAACAAUCAAGAAAAAAAUGAUCUGCAAAAAAUAAUAUGACCCAGUUAGGAUUAGAUCACAGCAUAUCAAGCCUAUAGUAGCCCAAGUAAGAAUGCGAAGAAAUGACAACUAAGCCAUUAGAAAUAGUCGAGCAAAGUUAAGAAGAGAAAUAAGAAAUAAACUUACAAUCAAGAUAGUUACAUAUUCUAUAGGAAAUUGAUCUUCUAGCUGAUAAACAUCAAGAAAUUCACUCUUGUUCUUUAUGACAGACUGGUAGAACAUUGCAACUAGGAAAAACACAGUCAGAUCAGCAACAAAUAUGUAAGCAUACAGAUCAAAUUCCCUUUUUCCACCACCAAUUACAGAGAGUAUUUGGUAUGGGAAUCCCGUUGCUUCAACAAGCCCAGCACGCUGUGCCUCAAGAAUUUCUUUCGCCACAUCAGCUGCUGGAGUUAGUGACUUGUACCAAUCUGCUGAGGUACAUCCUGUCAAGGGAGAUGCAUACACCACCUCAAAAACAAUCAGAGCCACAUUUGGGCUUUCUCGACUUCUUUCAAUGCUUUGAACCUGGACCCUACUAGCAAAUGGACAAUUACUGGGGAUUAUUUGAGUACAUCUCUCAUCAUGAACUAGCCUAAGCAGUUGGUUCAUUCCAGACUCAACCUUUUCUGGCUGAAUCCCAUCCUCUGGCCACAAAUGAACAUCCACCGAAACUUGAAUAAAGUAAGGAGGAGUUUCCGCUCCCUGUAUCAAUGAUUUCCAGUACCAGAAGAAGCUUCUAAUUACCAGUUUCGCCGUAUUUAUUACAAAUUGGAACAACUCUGAUACCCUUUCACUCCAGCUAUAGUUCACAAGAACCUCUUUUCUACAAAGAGAACUCCUCCUAUGGGAGUUAUAGUCAGUAGAGGGCAUCCAUUCACCAUCUUUUGCACUUAUAGAGCUUUGUAAGAGGGUAAAUAAGUACACAAGAAAUAGAGGCAACGAACUCACAACAAAUGACGAUUUGAUUUCACGAGCAGGAAAUCCUAUUUCACGGAGCAGGUCUGACAUGAUACUCAAUCCACAAUGCUGGAUUACAAUUUGAUACAGAUACUGAAGCAACAUAUAAACUUCCGUGUAAAUCAGCAUGACAACCCAGAAGAUAUAAGUCGGACCUGUAUUCACACAUAGAGCAUACAAGAAAAGAGCUGCAAGAUACACCAUAGAUAGCAAACUGAAGUUCCAUAGAAAGACAAGGAUAAACAAACAGUAGCACACAACAUCGAUAUUAGACCACAUCUGGGACCAUAUAUGCCGAAAGAUCCGCCCCAGCUGCAAACUCGUAGCAUCAGAACUUUUAUCAGAUUGCAGAGAAGAUGAACGGUUCAAAUGGAUAUUCUGCAUCUUUUGGCCCUCCAUCUCAUCAAAGGCCUCAUCCUCACCAGAUGAGUGCUCAUUCAUAUCGGAAUCUUCUGGUGCAAUGUUUAAGAAAUUUACAAGGUUAUUAACUGCCUGAUUUCCAAUAGACUGUACCUGGGAAACGCCAUCACCGAGGAGGUGUACUGCAGAAAUCAAAGGAUGCUCCUUUGCUUGGUUUUUCCUACUUCUCUCUGAAUCUAAAAAAGCACUAUCAGCAUCAGAUUCAAUUUCAGUGAUCUCACAAGGUGCAUAUUCCAUUGAAUUCUUUGGAGAUUCCACAACUUCAGGAUUUUCUGCUUUCAUAUAAGCAGCAUAUGUGUGUGUUUCAGGGGGGAACACUGAAUCUUGUUUAUCAACUUGUUCUUGCUUCCAAAGAGAGCUUUCCUCUUUGUCAAGAGGCCCAACAUCCCUACUUGAAGUAAGAGAAGUCCUCCUCCUCCGCAGGCCUUCAUCGUCAGGAGAGACAUCACCAAAAGUUGCAACAGAAUUCAUGCUAUGGAGCUUUAUUUGCAAGUUAAGCAUCUCAGAUUUCAUCUUCUCCACUUGCAAGUUGCGUUGAUGUUUCUUCUCCUCAGCUUCACGAAUCUGUUGCAACUGUGCAGUUUUCCAAGCAGCUUUUUUCUCUUGCUCACGUACAAUGGCACCAAUUUGCUCCGCUUCAAGGUAUCGUGACACAUAAUCAGACUCGUGGGAGGAAAACAUAUAUGACUGAAGUGAUACCAACAUAAAUAUCACAAUCUCAACAAGUGCGGAUCUGGCAGUAAUUCGAAACCCAUAGUCAUACUUGUAAAAUCCAAUGACUUCAUAUAUGUAGCUCACAGUAUUGCACUUUCCAGAACUAAACUCCCCCACGAAAGGUGAUUGAUAGGCAAGAGAAAGAACGAUCACCACAAAGUUGUAGAUACGCAAGAACUUGAAUAUUUUAUUCUUUUUCUUGAGAAUUUCAAGCCUCAUCCGGAAAAAAACAAGAGCAAAAGCAAGAUAACCCAGGUGCAGAAUAUCAUACUCAAGAGUUCCAGUAAUCAAAAUCAAUACAAGGACCAAGUCCAAUAGAUGGCAAUAACAAUAAAGCCUUACAUAGUCAAGAAAGGUCCACAUGCUUUUGGUUUCAAAAGAGAGAUCUCGCCAAACAAAUGAAUUUUCACGUUGAGACAACAUUUGCCGAUAUGUUGAUGAACCUGAGAAAUCAGACAAGUGAUCUGCACGAAGCUUAAAACAUGCCAGAAGAAAGACCAAGAAAUAGCUAAUAAGCAUUCGGGGAUCAUCAAUGAUCAGUCCUGCAGGAAAAGGAGAAAUUAACAGCAGAUUAGUUUGAACCUCCAUCAUAGGCCAAAAUUAAAUAAUGAAUUGAUAGAUAACUAUGAACCACUGACAGGAAUAGACAAACUCUUCCAAGCAUAAGCUAAUUUAAGCUAAGUUAGAAAACAGUCUAAAAUUGUUCAAAUGCCCGUGUCAAAGAUACCAGACUUCUUGUAGAAAGAAAAAGGAUAAAACAUGGCAAAGUAACAUAGAUGAUAAUGCUAAAAUAAGAAUCAUUAAGUCAAUUUUCUUCUGCCAGUCAAAAGCAAAGUAUAAUAAUUUGUGCAGUGCUUAUCUGCCCUAUUUAAGCAAUAAGCAGAUCCAGAGAUUAAUACCCAGCCAACAGCUCCUGCAAUACUGAAAAUAUGAAGCCGAGCUUUUCCAGCAGUCAUGGCAACAGAUUUCAGACUGACUUGGCUUAUUUUGAUUCAGAGGGAACAUACUCUUCCAAAUGGCAAAAUACUCGAGGAUGAGAACAGAAGCAAACAAGAAGACAAGAACUGGCCAUAAUUUACGAAUAAUCUGCCGAUUCAAAAGAAUACAAACAGCAAGCACUGCAAUAUAUAGCAUAGAGAUGGCAUUCAACAAAGCAAAACUUGCGAGAAGCAAAGCAAUCAUGUUAAUCUCCAGGCCAUAAAGGCUAAACAUGUUCUCUAUCCAGAAUUUCAAAUAUAUUUUUAAGAGAGCCUUCUGUGUUUCAAAUCUCUCUUUCCUUAAUGCAAGGAUUCGCUUCUUGUUCCACUUAUGACUCUCCUUGGUGCUUCCCCAGAAAUAUCCAAAUGAAAAUUUUCUCACACCAUUAACCUCAGAACCUCCUGCUGCUUUGGAGGACCCAUGAUGAGGUGCUUGAGAAAAAGCACUGCUCAAAGAUGACCAUGAAUUGCUUGCUGCUCUGUCUUGUCUUAUAGGUUCUGUCCCAACACUAGAAGAUGGCUUAUCUUCCCCAUUAGACAUGUAGCCAUUGGUGUAGUUAUCCUCUGCUGGUAAAAAUAAAGGACAGGGCUCUUCCCAUUUGCGUUUCUUGGAAAUACCACUUGGCAUAUUAUCCAACCAACGGAAGACAUUGUACUGAAGGAUGCAUGCAGCAAUUACCAGAACCUUUCCUCUCAAGCCUGAUUCUAUACCCCAAAAUCCUGGCUCAUAUGCACGGAUACCCAAAAAGAGCGACAAAUCAGAAUGCUUUUGCCCUGGAAACAUUUCAGCUUGUUUACCCCACAUCUGAAAAAGAUACUCUGAUGUAACCAGAAAUCCCGUAUAAACUAAGAAUGAUUUGGAUGGGAUUUGAGAAGCUUUAGGUAAUGUUGAACAUAUGACAAGGCCAAGUAGAUACAAGAAUCCAAAAGCACAAAUUGGAGAUAAAGAUGCAUAGAAUAAUGAGACAAACAGGACCUUCUGGCUGUGCCAAAUCAGAAACCGCUUGGCAAAGCCAAGUAUCCCAGAACCUAAAGGAUUGGGAUGGUAAGUUCUGUUGUACUUGCUCUGCCUCCUUUCAUAGCUAUAAAGUUGCAUCACAAUUAGAACAGCUAGAGAUUGCCAAAUAUUAUCCAACAAUGAAGCUUCAGGAUCAUAACCCAAAUAAAAAUAGAGAUUUAUAAACCCAGAGAGCCAAAUCUUAAAGCUGGUAAAACUGCUUAAGCUAUAGAUAAUAAUGAACACCAUAAUUGCAUAUAUUUUUAAUGGAAACCAUAGGCGCCUUUUAGUUCUCUCAACAAGUUGUCUUCCAAUAAUCCAAACAAGGAGAAGGAAGAUGUAUCCAAAUGAUAUAUAGUUGGGUGUCACCAUGUAUACUGUGAGAAGAAUAGUCAGCAAAGCAAUGUAGGUUCCACAUGAUCGAUAUAUUGAUAAAAACUUCUGCCCAAUUUCGCUAAGGAAUGAUGCUAUCCUUCUCUCUGAAUAACAUUAAAACAAACAAGUAAAAAAAUGCUGUCAAUAGAAGUUUAGAGGUAGAAGCAGUAAUGGAAAUAUUGAUAGACAAAUGAGUAACAGAAACAAAAUAUUAUAAUAAACAAAAUGGCCUAGAGACAGCUAUCUUGAACAUUCCUAGAAGUCCAAAUUCAUCAGAAAGCAGACAUCUCAUUGUGGCCUAAGGUCAGGCUAAGAACCAGCUAUAAAAUAAUCAAAAAGUAUUUACAAUCAUGUCUAGAUCCAUAAAGCCUGCACAUCAUAGCAGGAUGAUACCAACUUGUUCUAGGUUUAGUUUGCUAUAAUAUUUGAAUAAAAUGUAAGGCAUGAAAUUUAUUAAACGGUUCUCUACUUAGAAUGCAAGUACAGACAUAAAAACAGUCAAUUUUACUACCAAGUUUCCCAUACCUGAUGAACAUAACAUUUCGACAUUCAUAUAAAAUAAGCUAAAAUAUAGGACUACCUAUCAAAAUAAUUUUAGCAUUUGCAAUUAAUAGUGGAAAACCAAACUUUUUUUAUAGGUAUUUUCUUUUUCAAUUUUAACAGCCAAAUUUGGACAGAAAUUUUGACAUGCAUAGAGAUUAUACCAUAAGAAGGAUUAUCAUGGUAGUAGGAGGCGCUUGGAGAUGCAUAGACUGACAAGAGGACAGACUUGUUCAGACCAGCUCUCAAGAUGCUAAAUCCAACAGGAGGGCUAGGGGUGUGCUGCACAAUUGCUGAGAAUGAAAAUAGCAUCUCAAACCCAUGGUUAUGGACUGCACAGAAGCACGCAAGCAAAGCUAUUUCCAGAAAGUUCAAUGAACUGUUAUGUUUAUGGAGACCUACAUCAAUUCAGAGAAGAUUGUUUAGUUUCUUUCUCUUUCCAGGGCCAGGGUAGUUCAUUAAUAGCCAUAAUCAUGACAUAUAAAUGAAAUUAGAUAACCCAAAGCAAAUACAUACCCAACUGCGACAUGAUUUCCAAAACAAUGGAGCCUUUUUGCUCCAAAGCAUUAGAGAUCAAAUCGAUCUGAAGAAGGUACAACAAUGCAAAGUGAGCUUCACAAAGAAGAAUCAGAGACUGGCGAAUCUUUCUGCUGAUGUUGUGGCUCAAAAGAUAGAUCAAAAAGAAAACCACUGAAUCAGAGGAGAAACACAUAAAGCCAAUUAGAAACUGCUAUGGAUAAACUUGCAGUAAUAAUACAAAUUUGCACUUGCUUAUGUGAAUUGUACAAGAACAUUGGACAAAAAUCCUUAUGCUAAAGGAAAAUUUAUAAUUAUACUUAACUAAGAACUAAAGCCGACAAGGUUUAAUAGAACAUACAAUAGACAGCAUGGAUUAAUCCGGGUUUCAUUGCUAUGAUAAAUAUCAGUGCAAGCAUGAUAGCUCGAGAACAUUUGCGCAGUCCCCAUGCAAUUGUAGCCACAAUGAACACCUUGGUCUCUCCAUCCACUGCAAACAAAGGACACGAAGAAGCAAUUAUAUAGAUUAAAAAGUAAAAUUACCACCCUUUUGUACUCAAUAUCCGUAAAUGAUCUUAAAAUAGAUAAGAGAAGCAGUCUAAAGCAAUGCCAGAGUAGUAGAUAUACGAGAAAAUAAUCAGUUUUAUGUGCUGUCAGAAGACAGAAAAUCAAAAUUAAAUCUUAAAGAUAUCUUAAAAUAAAAAACUAACUCUUCAAGCUCACUGUUGUAAGAUAGAAAUCUAACUCGCUAAAUGCACAAUCCUAGAAAUAUAUACCUUCUCAGGAUUUCUAAAGAUAUAUUCCAAAGCCGACCUGAUGACAGUCCUCAAAAUGCAGAUGCCAAGAAAGAAGUCUGUAGCACUCAGAAUAUAUAAUUCAUACCUUCCACAGCAGAGUUGUUCGAUGAUAUAGCGUCCUCAUCAGAUAAAUAGAGGAAAACAGAAUUAUUUACAAGAUUCCCCAAAGCAACCAAAAUUCCAAGACAAAAUUGUGCAAGCAAAAAAAAUCCAGGUAUGGGAUAAUGCCAAAACCCAACCAUUUCCCAAAUUUCCAUAUCCUGCAUGAGCCCAUAUGUUGAUGAAAACAUAAGAAAAAAGAAAUCUGAACCAUUUAAAUUUAUGAAAUGAUGAAUUUGCAAAAGAGAGGAGUACCUUCCCAAAAUUCCUAUUCAAGAAAGCAAAUGCCACAUUGAAUAUAUAGGUGCUUACAGCCCACAAAAGAAUGAAGACAAGGAGAAGCCCAUUUAACCGGUGCAAACGGAACAGGGAAGGAAAAGCAUACACAAUGUAGCCAACAUAUGCAAGUAGCCCAAAAGCACAUAUACUUGCAAAGUGGAAACUCCAAAAGGAAAGAGCAAACAAGGAUACCUGUCAAAAUUUCCACAGACAAUUUACAUAUAUAUCUUAAUAUUGAUAAAAUUAGAGAAAAGACCCAUAAGAUUAUAGAAACAUUUAGUAAAAGGUAGCAAUCAUACUGGAAAACCGUAAGUGAAAAAGUUGAUGGUAAAAGUCCGGAAAGCUGUCCCUCGUAGUAAAACAUUGGUAUGCCUUACACCAGAUCUGGAGAAUUAGAAUAACUCAUUACAGAACUCAAAAUAACCUAUCAGUUAAAGAAUGGACCCUUUUGUUUUCUAGAAAAUAAAAGCAGAAGCAUAAAUGAUACAUGAACAUCUUAUACAGUGUGCCAGAUCCAAAACAAACAUGAUGGUGAAAAGAAAAAGUUAAUUAAAAUGAGUGCUCGUAAUUAAAAUAAUUCUGCAAAGGAGCAAAUUGAAUCAGUAAUUUGAUCAUGUUUGGUAUCCUCUCACUACUGCUUUCUUUCAGGAUAGCUCUAUUAAACAUAGAAAAGCAUGAUUAAAAUAGUAAAGUGUAGAUAAAUACACAUAGGUUAAGAAUAAGAGAAAUUUCCAGGAUAUAGCAGUACAAAUAGUUAUUUGGAUAAACUAUUUCCAGCUUAUAGGUGCAAGAAAUGAAUUAAAUCCAUGGAUAAAUCAAGUAUCCUAGAGUUUGCAAUUUAUGGUGUGUAUAAUAUUUUGCCUCUUUUUAAGAUUUAAAAGCAUAUAACAAGGGAAGAAUCAGAAAUAAUAUAAAUAGGUAUGUUACCUUGAUUCACGAAUGAAGAAUGAAUGCUUUGAUGGAAGUAGUUGCUCUGUCAAGCUACUUUCCCGCGUGGACAUGAUAAAAUCCAUUUCCUCCAAAUCACAUUUGACAUAGGAUAGCUGCAGUACAAGACAGAAUAUUUAAAUAGAAGAAAUAGACACCAAGACGAAAGCAGUACAGAAAUAUUUUAAAAAUAAAAAGAACACAACACAUAAAUAAAUAAGAUAUUUUCAAAAUAUUGUCAUAUUAUGUCUUACAAGUAAUCCAAAACUUCAGGUAUUACUAAACAAAACUUAAGACGACCAUAAAUACAUGUACUAAGCAUAUACAUAGAGCUGCUCUAAUCUUGUUCUCAAUUAUAUUAUUUCUUUAUAAUUAAUUUAACUUGUUCAAAACUAUUAAGAACAUAUAUUAUAUAAAUAUGCGGUUUCCAACUAGGAAGCUCUCAAAUUUUCAACUGCAAUUUCACUGAGCAAAUUGAAUAAAAAUUGCAUCCAGAAUGGAAAAAAUGUCAUCAAUCUCCAAAGUUUAGUUUGCAACUAAAUAGUUCAUAUCUGUCCGGGAAAAAAUUCUUAUAGAAAGAAAACACUUCAAACCAUCUUAAAUUAGUAAUAUGGGGAAAAGACUUAUUAGAUGGAGUUUAGUUUGCAACUAAAUAGUUCAUAUCUGUCCGGGAAAAAUUUCUUAUAGAAAGAAAACACUUCAAACCAUCUUAAAUUAGUAAUAUGGGGAAAAGACUUAUUAGAUGGACAAAUGUCAGACACAGGAAAGACUCAAAUGAAGUCAAUUUCAUAAUAUAAGAUUCUAGGAAGAGGGAAGAGUGUCUUGCAUUUCAUUUAAAGGUUCAGCUAAAAUCUUUAAACAGAAUCAGACGUAUAGUAAUAAAACUAGUACAUACCAUGAUGUAAAAAAGUACAAGAGAAACAGAAGAGCAAAUUUCAGUCCACUCAGAUGUUGAACAUAUUUUGAAUAGACCAACAAAAUCAGCUAUCCACUGUAACAUACUUGAGAACUCUAUAGGGAGUUGAUACACAUAAAGCAUGAAAAUGCUGAAGCCUGCAUAAAACUGGAGAGCCUUCCACAACCUUGACAAAAAAGAAACAGAACAUAAGCUACUAAAAACAUUAACCAAUGAUAAAAUCAAAUUCAUUGACAAAGAAAAUGAAAUAGAACAAUGUACAAAGAGUCAAGAAGAAAUCACCUGAAUAGUCCUAGAAAAUUGCUAGUCAAAGACCAAUCCACUAGCCCAAUGCAGCUUCCAAUGAAAAAUGGCAGAGAAAUCCACGAGGGAUGGCUAAUUCCCACAACCAGCUGAAUAGCAGGUAGAAGCAAACAGGAAGCAACUUUAAGAUGGGAACCUUUCAUGAAAUAAACAAUGGAAAUAAUUUUAUAUCAGUUUCAAUUUAAACAUGACUACCUGAGGUAACAAGUAAAUUAAAAAAACUCAAUUAAAAUUUUAAGUUCAGAAGCUGAAGCAGAAUAAAGAUUAAGAGAGAAAUGUUUAAGAUAGUUUUAACUUUUCUUUCUUUUUCUAUAGUGUCCGAGGCCAACAAAAGUACCAACUUAUUGUCAACGGCAUAGACUUAAUGGGAAUUGAAAUUUAUAUAUAAAAGUAAUAAAGCUGACUGCAAUGCAGAUAAGCAACGCGAUCAUUUCAGUUGGCUAACCAGCGAAAUAGCAAACUACCAGGCAUACACAUUAUAUGUUAUUAAUGCAGUCUGUGCAUACAUUGGAUAUUACUAAGUUGGCAAGGAUACAACUCACAGUAGAGCUAUACUGCACGAAAUACAAAGCAUUUGUUUGCAGAGAAAACUCAACUGUCUGUUCUGUUACCACAUGAAAACCCUUGACUAGAUUGACAAGAACUCUAAAUUGAAUAUGAGGCAAAAUAAUGCUUUAGAAGUUCUAGUAGCUAACUUAUAAGCUUUAAGUAGGCUACAGAGAUCAAUAUUUUCACCUCCAAUCCACAAGGCCCCAAAGAUCACAACAGAAAUAUUCCACUAGUAAAACAUGUGCUAUCAUUGACACAAAAUGAGAAGAGAAUAAUAAGGCUUCACUGCUGCUUUAGAAGAGGGACAAUUGGGGGAAGAGUGUUGAACUUGAUUUAAUUCAUUUAACAAAGUGAAUAAAAUCAUCUCUAGUUCAUAUCCUCUGCAUGCAAUAAGUUAAUCCUAAAACAUGCAUAUAGGAUUGCUAAAUGGAUCCUGUUUUGGGUGGGGAGAGUACAUAGUGCAACAAUAUCACUACAUAAAAAAAAAUUAGAAAAAUAAGGAAAUACUUACAAACCUAAUUGUUCAACAACUGUCAAGAAAUGACCCCAACAAGUAUACCGCCACGGAACAAGACCGAAUCUGUUCACAUGUAUAUCAAGCAAUGCAACUACUAGCACUAGAAGUUGUGUAACCAAGAAAUAGAUCACAGUGGGAGAUCUCCAAGACUGGAUUCUGCAAAAGCAUAGCCAAAUGGACAAACUGUCAAAAUAUGCAGAGACUGAAGGAACAGAAGAAUUAAAGAAAACAAAAUAUAUCCUUACAUCAUAAAACCAAUUAGCUUGAGCCACCAAGCAUCUCCUACACUCUGUUUAUAGCCUCCAACAGCCCAUAUAACAAGAUAUGCAACUUGUGAAAGAAAAACAAGUAGGGAAAAGAUGAUAACAGGCCACAGUAACAAAUAUUUCCUCCUGAAACGAAAUCCUAUAAGAAAGUAAUCCCAUGUUACUUUAUAAGAAAUGAAAACAACUUCAAAUAAAACCAUUAAAAUAACAAUAAUCAGAAAAAGAAGUUAAACUUAUAAAAAAUGCAAGAAGUCAAGAAAUAUCAUAAACCCCUCUUCUAAUUUUCUUAUAGACUCGGGGUUAUGUAACAUUAAAGACUGCUGAAUUCUACAAUAAGCACUUAGCAAAGUUCAUUAGAUACGUACAGCAAAAUCUAAAGCACCAACAAGAUAAAAGUAGUAAGAAAAAACAAUGAACAACUGAGACCCUGCUGAAUUAUGGAAAAUUAGAACUACAGAACUGCAAAGAUAAAGCAAAAAUUUACCAGAAAAUCUUCAUCACUUACCUAUUUUAGGUGCAGUAUACUGAAUGAGAAGGAAAGCGAUCAAAUCAACAUGAGAGAUCAAACUCCAAUUGAGCAAUGAAGCUUCAAGAAAGACAGAACAGGUAAAAACUAUUAAUUAAUUGAUGGCAGAGCAUAUAUGUAUUUGUAUAUGCAUACACACAACAAAAAAAAUGCAGUUUCAAACAGUAACUCAUAAAAGAAUAAAUGAUCUCAACGUCAGUAGAGAAUUUUUCUUGCUGGGAGUCUUCUAUGUAGAGCAUUCUGUAAGUUAUCAAUUUACAGGUCUCUCAACUUAUAAAAUUUAAAAUUAACACUCUAUGGCACUCUGCUAAGACCGUGCCUCAAAGCUCAUUAACAAACCAACCUGUCCCUCACCAAAAAGAAUACCAAUGAAGUUUUCGCUUUUCAAGUGACUUUUAACUGCAAAAUCCCUUCUACCCUUCUCACCUUUCAGGUUCCAAAAUAACAAAGACUGGAUGAUGUCCUGUGUCACAAGCUAAUUUUAAACUAGGUUCAGGUACCCAGGAAUUAGAUUUUUACAGUCUCAAAAACUUGAAACUUACAAUUGAUACUGGUCUAGUUCAAGAAUGACCCCUCAAAGUGAAUUUUCCAAACAAUAUAUGAAAAGAACAGAAGGUUGCAUAUAAAUGCAAAGACUAGUGUUCCCAUCAUGAACUCAUGAGCAGUAAACAAAAUCCCUACUCUUAAACAGCAGCUUGGAUGAUAAAAAAAAAAGGGUCAUUUAGACUCUCCUCAACUUCCUAAGACACUCCCUUAUGGAAUUCGGAUUUGGUUAUUUCUCUAUGGGACAUAGCAUAGCUCAAAUUAUACAGAUAAACGCGAGCACUUUAAGACAUAGCUCAAACAAUGCAUAUGUAAAGUAGAUUCCAACAGACAACCAACACCACUAAAUGAAUUUCUAAUUAAAAAAAAAGGGGGGGGAAUGAAGCAAAAAAGAAAGAAACCCGGAGUCUUUAUAUAAAUUUAUAAGGGAUGAAAUUAAAAGUAAAGAGUAUUAAGAAACAAAGCAUACCUGUAAGAAGCAGCAAAGGCAAAGCAAACCCAGUUAGAAAACUCCCCAUGAGAUUAGCACUUGAAUUCCACCAAAAAAACCAGAUCGAUUCACAGCAAAAACACAGAAUACGUUAAUGGGUUUUCGUUUUCCAUUAAAAUCAACAAAAACCCAUUUCACAUCAAAUCAAAAAUUUCCUCCUAAGCAAACGAAACGAGGAAAUUUUUGACUUGAAAACCCCAAGAAUGGAAGUUCGGGUCACGUGUUUUUCAGCAAAAGAGGGAAUAAAUUAAUAAAAAUAAAAACGAAAUUAGCUAUGGGUUUUACUAAGUACAAAACCAAAUUCGUCAAAAUCUGAUGUCCUGAAAUAUGUAUUAAGGAAUUAAAAUAACAGCAAGGUUGAUUUUAUAUUAUGAACAUAAAAAAUGAUUUUUUUAUAUAAGGAAAAUAUGGCUUUACCUGAUAUUCUAGAAUAUUAUAUAACUCAAGAUAUUUUUUUUACCCGCGCAAUGCUGCGAAGGGAAAUAUCUUUCUAGCAUAUUCAUUGAUUUAUUUAUUUAUUUUGGUACAUAUAAUUAGAGUCAAAAUUUUUAAAAUUCCAUGGGUGAUUGAAUCAAUUAUAUCACCAGUUUAUUUAAUUAAAUUAAAUAAAUUAUUAAAAAUUUAUAAAAUAUUAAAAAUUUGGUUUGUGUUUGAAUUAAUUGAUUUAUAUCAAUUUCUAAAUCUAUUGAUCUAAUUACUUUUUUGAAUUGGUAUCCUAAUUGAUUCUCGAUUCGAUCAAUUAAUUUAUCUAAUUUGAUUUAAAUAAUCUCAAUAAAGCUAAAUGAAUAUAAAAUUUAGAGGAUAAAUAAAAAUGAUAAAUAUUGUAUAUGUAUAAAUGAAGGAUUAAAAAAAUCAAGCAAUGAAAUAUGAAAAUAUUUAUUUCAAUAUUUUUUUAAGAAAUAAAAAAUUAAAGUGUUGUUUUUGAUAAAAAAGGUUAUCAAAAUAAAAAUGGAAAGAAAAAAUUUUCAAAUAUUUAAGAGUUUAAUAAUAUUUUUUCAAAAGAAAAAAUUGAGGGUUUAAUUAAAAUUUUGUGAGAUUAAUGAGAAAUUCAAAAAAAAAUUAGAAGAGCUUAAUUAAAAAUUUCAAAUAAAUUAAAAUACAUAACGAAAAUUUUCAAUACAAAAAUAAAAAUAAAAAUUUUCAAAAAAUUAGGAGAUCAAAGCUCCCUUAGCCUCCAUUACGAUCCGCCACCGCCUUUAUGGUUCAUCAGUUCACUAUUUGAAAGAGUAAGAUAUAUGAUGUGCUUAUUAAGUUCAACUGAACACUUAUAUUAUAAUCAUUUAUCAAUGGUUACAAAUAUUGAAAAUCAAGACCAAUUAACCAUAUUGAACUAAGAUUUUUCGGGCUUCAUUAAGUUGACAUUUUUGAUCAUUCUUUCUUUUGUUUUCUUGAUAUAUUUAUCGGAUAUUUCAUUGAUAUUCAACCCCAAACCUGUAAGCACUAGUCUCGAAUCAUCAGGUCGGACUGGUGUUGUCGGUUUCGCCAUGGCAAAUUCAUUGCCUGCCUCCCCACUGGCUACAGGGACGAUGAUCUUUGGGUGGCCUAUACCAGUUCGCAAUGAAUUCUCCUUCUUACCCGAGGGGUCAGGGACCGACAAACCGAACUUGUCAACGGUAGGCUGAUCAUCCAACUCUUCUGUUUGCUUAAACAAAAUCUUAACUGUAGGAUCUGAACCAUCAUCCUUGGCUUGGCUUGCAAGUGGUUCUUGUACUUCAUUGCUAGCAAAUUCACCUAGUGACCCUUUACCAGUUGAGCCCUGAGUCAUGAUGUGACCCAAGGUUAACCAUUUCGAGCCUUUACGAAUGAAGUUGAAGAGCCUAUGGCAAAUGCCAAAUGGCUGAUCAUCCUUUCCCUUCUGCUCCAUUGCCUUGGCUGAAAAUAAGUGGAAAAGAAUCGCUAUUUGAAUGAUUCGAAACUUGGAGCUCAAAAAAAUGAAGAAAGAAAGAGUGAGAUUUUCCAUGGAAGGGAGGGAUAUAAUUUAAUGGAUUCUUGGAAUAAGGGAGGAAUUUGUACUUUCCUUUAAGUCAAAUUUUAUUCCAAAACAGCAACAAGAAACAUCGAGGGGAAUUGGUGAUUGGUGAAUGUAGUUGAUGGAGAGAUUAAGAUACCAUGUGAACUGAAGUUUCUUCUUUUUUUUUUAUUAGCAAAUAUGCUUUGUGAAAUUACUAGGAGAUAAGAUAUUCUUUCUACACUUGAUGUAAACAUAUCUAUGGAAUAAAGUUAGAUGGAGACUUUUGACAUAUGUGCAUGAGUCUCGUGCAUAUUCAAUAAACAAUGACAUGUCAUCAGUGAAAUAAAAGAAAUAGUGAAAAUUUAUAAAUAAAUAUUAAUAACUUCAUUCUAAAAUAAAUCUAAAACUCUAAAAUUAUCAUAAACCUUAAAUCUUAAACUAUAAAAUCUAAACUAAAAACCUUAGAAAAAAAAUAAUUAUAAUUAAUAUUUAUUUUUAUUUAAAUAAUUAUUAUUAUCUCCACUAUUUUAUUAUGCACACCGAUAAUGUAUAAAAUCUAUACACAUUAAAUAUAAUUCAUAUAUAUUAUUAAUGCAAUUUAAGAAUCUUCCACUGGCACUUCAAUUAGAAUAUGCAUAAAUUGUUCUUCACAUGCAUGUGUGUGUGUGUGAAUGGCUAUUUAUAAAGAAAGAAAAAGCAUAAAUUCCUAAGGGGCAGCAUUAAGGGAAACUAAUGGGUGUCUGUUUCACAUGAAAAGAGAAUAUCAACUUUCAUCUACAACUUUGGGAACCCUUUCCUAAUGAAAGAAAAUCAUAACAUAAAAAUAAGUGAAGGGAUUGGAUACGGUGAGGUUUUCUGAUUUGGUGUUUUUUGUGGUAUCAUCAAUUUUAAUACCCAAAAUCUAGAAGUAUAAUUAAUUGAACUCUUUUGAUUGAUUUGGUAGUUAAGGGUUGCUCACUUAGAGAACUCACUCGAGUUUAAAUUUGUGGAGGGGUAAUGGAAGGCCUUUAUAUGGCCAGCUCUUUUAGGAUGUUGUGUGUGCGUGUGUAGCGUAACAGCUUUUAAAAUUGGCAUAAUGAUAACUUUAAUUCUCAACGUUUAUAUAUAUGCCAAUUUAUUUAGUCUUGAUUCUAAAAUAUCUAACCCUUAACAUUUACAUAUUGUAUAAUUUGGUCUUUUUUGCUUUUUAUAAUUGGGUAACCAUUUUAUAAUUUUUUAUAAUUGGGUGACAAAAAAUAAAUUUACUAAGUUGGGUGACUACAAUGUGGUUUACCCUUAUAAAAUUUACAUUUGUCUAACCAACAAAUUGCAUUACUUAAUUUAGGGUUGAGUAAAGAAAUUGAGAAAGCCAAAAUUUGAUUUGAACCAUUGCAUUUUAUUCGCUUUGAUUUGGUUUCAGAUUGAUGUUAUCACUCAUAUCUCACAAUUCAAUUUGGGUUCAAUUUUUCCGCAUGAAACUCACUUUAUUCAAAUCAAACCGAAUGAAAAGAAAACCAUAUUUAAACAAAUAGUCGUGAUAGACUAACAGAUAGAUUAUUAAUAUCUACAUGGCUAAUUCAUUUCACCUAAUUAUUAUUAUAUUGUUAAAAAAAACUAAAUAUAAUCAUACAAAAAGUUAAAGUUGUUUAAAUGUUUCAAACAAAAAGUUUAUAUAUAUUAAUGUAAGUGGAUCAUUUAUUGAAUAUGAUAGUUAUAUUUAUAAGCACAAUUAUAAUUUUAGUAAAUUACUUUAUAAAACUUUUAUAAUAAUUUAUUCAUAAAAGAAAUUGUUCACAAAUUGUCAACCGUGUAUGUUUGAUCGUUAUGAAUUUAAUUGAUUAUAUGAUAUAUUGCAAUGACUCAAUUAUAAAUAAUUGAAGCCAGCAACUAAUGAAAUUAAUUAAAAAACGAUACAAUAAACAUUAGGUAUAUGAAUGAUUUAUAUGUUUCUUUUUAACAACUUUGAAUGAUUUAUCAACUUAAUAGCUUAACUUAAAAUGACUUUUUUAAGUGAGGAUAAAUAUAAAAAAGAGUACACAUGAACUUUCAUCCAAUGAAUAAUAUGAUAUAUGAAUUUUGAUUUUGUACGGUUAUACACAUGAAACUUUGAUCGAGGAUCAAUUUUAUUCAUAGAACUUUGAUUUUCAUUCAAUUAGUAAGUAUUUAAAUAAAUAGAUACAAUAAUUUAUUUAUAUUAGAAAAGUAUAAUCAUCUCUGCAUGUAAUGUGUAAACGUAAAAUGUAUUAUAUCAGUAAUGAUGUUAAUGGUUCGUGAAAAUUGAAUCAAAUUAAAAUGUCAUAUGUAAAAUUGCACAAAAUCAAAGUUCAUAUAUAACAUUGCACAUUAGACUCAAGUUCAUGUGCAGUUUUGAUAUUCAUCCCUUUUAAAUAGUAUUUGCAAAUUGAUUAUGAUGUUAAUUUAAUUAUUUAAUUCACUUUAUAAAUGAAUGUAAAGUAUGUAUUAUGAUGGUUAAGAAAAAAUUAAGAAUUGCAAUAUUAGGUUUUUUGGGCCCAAAAACAAUGUGGUUGUUUUUUUCACAAGCAUUGUCCAAAUUUGCCAAAGAAUUGCUAAAUCGAAUCACAAUUAUCGAUUUCAAAUAUUUUGAUUUUUACUCAACACAUUCGAUUUUAAAGGUCGAAAAUCAAAUGAAGCAGUUCAGUUCAAUUUUUGUCUAAUAAAUAUUGUAUCAAACUGAAUCAAAUACACCACUAAUCUAGUUGAUGCCUAGUUCAGGAAUAGGUUGUGCUAUAUGUGAUUUAACUAGACAAGGUAAUGUAAGAAUAACUCACAAUGAUCCAAACAAGUAAAUAAAGAUGACUCAGACUUGAAGUUACCAAACCCAUAAUGACUCGAUAUGAAAACAAAACUCAAAACCUCAAAUUUGAAUAACCUAAGCCCAAAAUACUCGAGAUGCGAAGUCAAAUCAAACCUAAUACAAACCCAAAAUCAACUCAACCCGAAAUGUUCUAAAAAUUUUAAAAUUUUAUUUGACCUGACCUAGAUGGACUAAUUCAAAAUCAAUCUGACCCAUACAAUCAGAAGUUAUACUUAUCAUCUAUUGUCGAUAUGAACAUUUAUAAGCAGAGCAAAUAUCUACUAAAAUAUUUCUAAAAAAUGUAAAAUUAUAAAUUAAUGUAACGAUAAGAUUACACCGUUACUCUCAAAAAGGAAUUUCUAACUUCAUCCUUAAUCAUCUCAUACCCUUGAAGUUGAUAUCAAAAGUAUUAAAUAAUCAAAGCAUUCCACAGCUUGGUGAUAAGGGUUUGAUUGGAAUCAAUUUUGGAGAAUUUUUUUUGCUACCCUAUGUUUUUUAAAACUUAAACUAAAAUCAAAUCGAAAUUUAAAAAUUAUUUGAUAAACCAUAAAACAAAACUCUUAUUGUAAAGUAUGUAAAAAACAAAACAGAAAAUUAAUAUAAAAAGCAAAAACUGAAUUCAAUCGAAUCAAAUUAUUACGGAUAGUUUGAAAUUUUUAUAAUCCAAUUAAAGUAAAAAUCAAUGGUGACCAACCAGCUGGAAAUUUUUGUAUUUGGUUGAUUUGCAAGUAAAAGUUUUAAGGUUAAAGUUAAAAUUUCGUGUUAAAAUUAUUUAACUGAAUUAUUAAUUUUUACAAAAGAUCGAAAGUACAAUUUCACAUUUACUCAAGUAUUUAAAAUGGAUUAUGUAACAUCCUCAAAACCCUAUUGGUCGUAAAUAAUAUGAGAUAAAAUCUUACGAAAAUAAGGUAUAAGAUCAAAGAAAAUGAAAGUUGCAAUAUAUCAAAAGAGAGUUAAAUCAAGAAGCAUGACACGAUGUAUUAAGGAAGUGACUAAAUCGUAAAUAUGUGAAAAGCUUUUGGCUCAAGUGUAAAUAUUCAAAAUUUAAGGGAUUGAAAUGUAAUAAUGGGAAAUUUGAAGGACCAAAAGUGAAAAUAAUCCAAUUUACUAAUAUAUGGAUUGGCAUGCAUGGACCAAAUUGAAUAGGUGAAGAAUUGUGAGGGUCUAAAUUACAAUUUUACUAAAUUAAGUGAUAAUUCAAUGAUGGAAUUUUGAAAGAUCAUAAAUAGUAAAAUUGUCAAUUAGCAAGAGGGAGAAUUAUAGAAUAUAAUGAUGAUGUUGAUGAUAUUUUGGUGAUUUUUUUAAUUAAUUAGUUAAAUAUUAUUUUAUUAAUAUUUUACUUAGAUAUUUAUUAUUAUUUUAUUUAGAAAAUGGUAGUAUAAAAAAAAAGGAAGGAUGAAAGAAAUUUAUCAUCCGUCCAACGUGAGUGAAAGGGUAAGAAAGAAUGUUUUCUUUUCUUUACAAUUUAGUCCUUUGUCAUGAAAACCUACAUUUUUACCCAAAAUCUUUAAAAAUUUCUUUAGAUAUUAAAGAGAGAAGAUGAAAUAGAGAUUUUAGAGAAUAUGCCCAUCAAUUUAGAAUCAAGAAAAUAGUAGAUGAAAGUGGAGAAAAUGAGAAAAAAAAAAGGAAGGAAAGCGGUGAAGAUGAGAAAUGCAUGGAAAUGAAGAAAUUCUUUACAAAAGAGGUAAGUUUCAUACUAAACCUAUUUGUAUUUCAAUAGAUUGAGUUAAAGAUAUUUUGAGUAAGAUGUAUGAAACAUGUAUUUAAUCUAAAUACUAGAAAUAGAAAGUAUUUUGAUGAAGAACAAAUACUUCAAACACUAAAUUGGUAAGAGAGAAUAUGAUUUGUAUGGUGAAAAGUACUAAUAUUAAGAAAUGAAUAUGUAAUCUACACAUAAACAUAAGUAACUAAAUUGUAUAGUAAUCAAAAGUAUGGCAAUAAUGUGUGAUUGAAUGAAAGAUGGUGCAAAGGACCUUGAAAAAGAAAAUAUUUUCAUUAAAACAGUUUGGACAAUAGCAGUGACUUAAUUUUGAAAAUUCACCUAAAAUUUUAGAAAUUUAGUUAGAGAUUUAAUUAAAUAUGGAAUUAAAGCUUAUUGAGUAUAGUUUCAUAUGGAAGAAACGGUGAAAGAAAUUAGACUUUAUAGUUUGAGAUAUAUUAAUUUUUGUGAAACAAGGUUGGAGUGGAUUCGGGUUCUCCUGUUCUAAAUUUGGAAAAUCAUAAAAAAUUGUAAAAAAAAAUGAUUAUGAGUUUAAAUUUAUAUGUUUAAAUUAUUAAUGAGUCUAUUUUCAAUAGAAACAAACGAAAAAAUCAUCCAAACCUCGUACUAAGAAAUAAUUAAUUUUUAGUAAAGAAAUAUCGAAGUUGUCAAGCAACAGAAUAGGGACAAAUUUGAAUAAUUUACCGUACUGAUUGGCUAAAUUAUAAAUUCUGAAAUUUUUAUGGUAAAAAUAUAUUCGAGUCUAGUUUCAAAAAUAUCAAUUGGAUCUUAAUUUCAAAUUCUGUAACUCAAGACAUAAAUAAUUUAGUGACUAUGACUUAAGUGGACAGCUUUGAUAUGAACAUAUAAGUAAAUAGUGGAAUUAUGGACAAUGUUACAUAUAAGCAUGUUAUAUACUAAAAGCUAAAGAUUCUAAUAAAUAUAUACAUAAAAGAUGUGGAAUGGAGAGGAAGAUGAGGGAAAAAAUAUAUAUGAUUAUAUAUAUAGUAGAUGAAUUUGAAAUGUUUCGAAAUGGUUGUAAAUGAUGAAAUGAUUAAUACAUGUGAAUAUGUUUAAACGAAUUGAUAAAAUAACAAGUGAAUAAUUGUUAAUUGAUGUGAUAUUGAAUUCUUAUUAAAAUUUUAUGAAGAAUUAAAUUGAUUGCCACAAUUUAGAAAUAAAUAUGAAAUAUACAUAAAUUGGGUAAACUACUUUGAAAGUGCAAGUCCUCCAAUGGUCUUAUUUGUAAAACUUUGAUAUUUGUCUUAAUUUUAUAAACUUUGUUAUCUUUAAUCGAAUAUCAUGUUUUUAUGAGGACUUGGGAUUAGAAAUAGAUAUCAAUGGAUGAUAUGUAAAAUGAAGUGGCAGUUAUGAUAUCUAAAUACGGUUCAUGUAAUGAUAUAAAAAAAUAAAUAAAUAAAAAUAAAGCAUGGAACUUGUAGGAAAAUGGAGAUUAUGUUAUGAUGACAAGUUUGCUAUGUCAUGACGUGAAAACCCCAAUGUGGCGACGACAAUUCAAAAUUUUUUAUGAACUAUACAAUUUGGCAUUUGAUCAAUUGUAGACGUUUUAAUGAGCUCAUUUAACUUAUAAUUAUUUUUUUCGUAAAUUUAAUUAUUAUUGAAAUGAGUUAAUGAUCUAUAUUAAUUAAAUAAUAUGAUACAUUGAUUUGAAAUUUUCAGUAGUUGCUUCGGUAACGAAUGUAACAUCCUGAUGCCUUGACUCGCCAACCAGGUCGAGUAUGGGGUUGUUACAGAUUAAAUUAAAAUAUUAUAUUUUAAUUUAUAACUUACACAUAGAUCUGUUCGUGGAUCGGGUCACUUGACCCAAUAAGUGGGAAGGUUUGAUUAAAAAUAUAUGCUCGAAAAAUGGGCUUGAACAAAAAAAUAAGACUUGUUUAAAAAAUGGGCCAAGCUUCAGAUAAUGCUUUUUUUGACCCGAGCCCAGCCCAAUCCGACAUAAUUAGAAAAAAAAAGACAAAAAAAGCUAUUUUGAUGCUAUUUUUUAUUAUUAUUUUCUCACUAUUUUACUAUUAUUUUACUAUUAUGUUACUACUAUUUUGUUGUUAUUGUUUGAAUAUUGUAUAACUCUUAUUUUGUUAUUAAUUUUGUUACUAUUUUAGAGGCAUUUGAUUGUUAAGUUACACAUAUCUUAGUGUUAUUUAAGUAUAAAUAUUUUUUUAAUUUGUUGGAAAAUAUUUAUUUUAUUUUAUAAGUAUUUUUUAUGUAUUGUAUUUUAUUUUUUUAUAUAAAAAUUUUAAUUUGGCCGAGUUGAGCUUGGGCUAAAUUUUAGGCCAAUUUUUUAGGUUGGGCCCGGGCCGAACAAAUAGGCCUAAAAUUUUGACAAUGUUCAACCCGAUCCAUUGACAAAUCUACUCAUAUAUAAUAUAUGGACUAAAUUCAUAACUUACAUAUAGUAUAGGGUCUAAUAAUAACUUAAUUUAUAAAAAAAUAACUUUAUAAAGUUAUGAUAAAAAAACUAUAAUAUUUUUAAAUGAAUAAGUAUGUUAUUUUUAUAAUGUAAAGCAUAGACACGUAGAUAAGUUAUGUCUAUAUUUCUUCGUCAUAACUUUUUAUAAAUAUAUAUAUAACCCUUUCAUAACAUGUAAAUUAUUGUUUUAUAAUAAACUUUUGAUCAUAAUUUUAGAAUUAUUUUAGGAUUUUAAAAAAUAUUUUUUAUUAUAACUUUAUAAAAUACACAAUUUUUUUUACAAUAUAAUUUUUUAAGGUUUAUAAUAUAAGAAAAUUUUGGCCAUAACUAAUCCAAGUACUCAUUCAUGUUUAUAAUAUAAUUUCUAUAACUUGUAUAAAAAUAAUUUUUAAAAAUUUAUUUAAGUGUAAUUAACUGCGUAAUUAUUCUAAUUCUCACCAUCCCCCUUAACAAUUGAAAAGUUUAGUUGGGGUGCUCCAAUUUCACCCAAUGCAGUGGGACUCAUCAAUUAUAAUGGUUACACAAACACGUCAUCCUUGUGUAAUUACUAACAAUUACACUUAAAUCUAAUUAUUAGAUGCAUUUCCAAACACUGCCUAAACGAUAGGCAACUUAAGCAAACUUACUUUGAAUAUAAUAUUUAUUUGGAUAAAUAUCUUAUUUUCGUAUCUAAGUUUGGCUUCAAUGUUCAAUUUGAUAAAUGAGUUUUUUUUUUCUCAAUUUGGUACUUGAGUUUAGCUUUAAUAUUUACUUUGGUACUCGAGUUUUUUCAAUUUGAUAUUUGAGUUUUUUUUUGUUCAGUUUAAGUAUCUAAAUUCAGCGUUUAAUUUGGUACGUGAGUCUUUUUUUGGUCCCGAUUAAGUAUCUGUGUUCUUUUUAGCAUAAAACACAUGUCAAUCAUUCAUUGGGCUAUAUUAUAUCAUUUGGCAUAGGUACCAAAUUGAAUAUUGAAGCCAAAUUUAGAUAUCAAGUUAGGAAAAAAAAACUUAGGUACCAAAUUGAACAUUAAAACCAAUCUCAUAUAUUGAAUGAUAUAUUAAUAGUAUUUUUUAAACAUAAUAUUUUAUUUAUAUUAUUUUAUUGACAUAUAUUCGCAAGUGUCUUCAUCUGUUUUACAAUUUAAAUCUAAUCUUAUUCGAGAAAAAAUAAUAUUCAGGUAAAACACUCCUUACAUGACUACUCCAGAAUUUUAUUUAUAUUAUUCAUUCAUUAUUAAAUAAUAAUGUUGCACCAUGAAAUUUGAUAGAUAUUAUUAUUUUUAUGCACGUAUAAGUAUAGAUAAAAGAGUUAUUUUAUAUUGUGGUUGUAAAAUUUUAAAACUUUGAAACUCAUGUGAUGGCUUGAUGGCCAAGAGUGUUCACCGCCUCAGGUGUGACCUGAAUUCGAGUCGCACUAGUCACAUUGGUUGUUUGGGAUAUGCCCUGUUAUUGUAAUUCACCAAAAAUAAAUUAAAACUCUACAAAUAUAAAAAGAGAUGUAAUAAAUAAAAAUAAAAAUUAAUUAUAUAAAAAGGAUAUUUAUCAAAUUUUUAAUUAAAUAUUUAUAUGUAAUAUAAUUACAAUAUUAUUAUUUUAAAAAUUUUAUGAAAAUAUAAACAAAUUAUAUAUUUGGAUGACAUCAUCAUUUGCACAUCAUAUUAUAUUAACAUGAAUUUUUAUUAGAAAUAAACGUUACAUACGGAUUAAAUUUUAACUCGAUUAAUAUUAGUAUUGUUGUCAGUGUAGAAAAAUGAGCGUUCGAGCAUGCUGGAGCAUGUUUAUACUACUAUUUAAUGAUUGAGAUGAAUUAUAGGUCGUUUUAAAUAAUCUUAUCUAGGUAUAAAAUAUAAAAAACUUAGGAGUAUUAUUUUAUAACUACUGAAAUGACUAGAAUACCCCAUUAAAGGAACAACAGUCUUCGGGUCAGUUCUGCAUUACUUUUCAAAAGCACUUCUGGAAGAAAAGUUGUGCAGAAUAAGUUGCUUUUGGCUGAAAUUUUUAGCUUUUCAGAAGUGCUUUUGAAAAGCACUUCUGAAAAAGAGAAAAUAAAAUUUUUAGCUUUUCCUCUCCCCAAAACACUUUUAGUGCUUAAUUACUUUUUCACCCCUCCAAUAACAUAGUACUUCCCCCUUUUUUUUCUUGGUAAUUAAUUGCAAAUGUGUUAAAAUCAUUAAUUAAAAAUAAAAAAUAUUUUUUAAAAUACUAAUUACAAAUAUUUAAUAGUUAUAUUUAAAUAUUUAAAAUAUAAUUUAUAUAUUCUAAUUAAAUUUUAUAAAUAAUUAAUAUUUAUUGCUUAAAAAUAUUUAAAAUUUAUAUUUUAUAUAUUAAAAUAUUAACAAGAAGUUAUAAUAAUUUUUAUAUAUUAUUACUAAAAUAUAAUAAUAUUAACUAAUUUAAAUAUUAUUUAAAUGCAUAUUUGUUACUUGAUAAUAACAUGUCUAAAAUGGACAUUUUAUUUCUUAAAAGCACUUUUUGACAGUAAUACUAAACACUUAAAUUUUAAAUCAAAUUUUUCAAAAGUACUUUUUUACAGUACUUUUCAAAAGCACUGUCAAACUAAUUAUUCUUUAAAAAAGCUAGUGGCGUGGAAGCCCAUAAACAAAGCGGCUCACCAGUCACUAUAGCUUUACCUCUAGUAAAAGAAAAAAAAAGAAAAAAAGUAAUUUAAUUUCAAUUAUUAAAAUAAAAUUUAAUAUCUUAAAUAAUAAUUAGAUUAAAUCAUAAAAACUCAAAAUUUAAUAUAGAUUAAUUUGAUAUUCUCAGUAAUUUUUUUUAAAAUAUAUAUAUUUAGUUUAAAAGUUAAACGUUUCUUGUUAAUUGUAUUAAUAAUUUAAUAAAAUUUACCUUUUAAAUAUAAAAUAUUAUGACAUAUUAAUAUUUUUUUCCAGUGUUAAAAUAAUUAAAAAAAAGUCAAUGAAGCUUUAACAAAGUUGACAAAGAUAGGGUAGAGGUGUGUAUGGGCCGGGCCGGGCUCAACUAAAAUUUUAGGUCCGUUUGCUAGGCCCGAAUCUGGCCCAAAAAAUGAGCCUAAAAUUUUACUAAAGCCCGACUUGGAUAAAUAUGUUAAAACCUAGGUCCGACUCGGCCCGCCCAUAUUAAUUUUUAUAUUAUUUUUAUAUAAUUUUAAAAAACAUAUAAUACAUCAAAAAUAUUAAAAAUAUCAAAAUAAAUAUUUCUCAAGAAAUUGAAAAUAAAUUUUAAAAAAUAUAUAUAUUUAAAUAAUAACAAAAUUAACAUAUGUUUUUAAAAUAAUAAUAAUAAAAUAGUAACAACAUAAUAAUAAAAUGGUAGUAAAAUAGAGUAUUAAAAAUAGAUUUUUUUUUCAAUUAGUGACUUCUGGCCGGGCCGGGCCUCGGGGGUAAAAAAUGCCUUACCAAGGCCUGGCCCGUCUUUUAAACUGGCCUUAUUUUUCUAUUCAAAUCUAUUUUUCGGGCCUAUAUUUUUUGUCUAAACCCUCCCACAUUUUGGGCGGGCCUUUGAGUCGGGCCGGUGGCCCGACCCAUGAACAAGUCUAAGACAGAGACUUUGAACCUUGAAAAAUCGAGUUUUAGUCCCAUUAUUUGCAAUUACAAUGGUUGGGUUCUCUCUCUUACUUUGUGUGGAUUUUAUCCCGUUUUUUCCAAAUUAGUCUGGCUUUUGUUUGAUUCUUUUUUCAUUACUUAACAUCAUAGUUAAUUAAACAUAUAUUUGUAUUUGUCUUAUACUUUUCUUGUAUUGUAUUCUAGUGAAACUUAAAAAAAAAAUAAAAAAUUUUAAAAAUUGAACUUAAAAAUGAAAAUGUAUGUUUCGAAAUAAAUCUCAAAACUUUACAUAAAUUUAAUGUAUAAUUUUAUAUGUGAAUUUUAUUAUGGUACAAUUAUACACAUAGAACUAUGAUUGUCGAACUUUUAUUUUGAUUCAAUGAUAUAUAUUCAAAGAAAUAGAUAUAUCAAUUUAUUUUUAUAUUAGAUAAAUAUAAUUAUUUACAUAUAUAAUAUAUAAACAUAUAAUUGUGUUAUAUUAAUAAUUAUGUUAAUAAUUUGUGAGAAUUGGAUCAAAUUAAAAUUUCACACAUUAAACCAAAGUUAAUGUAUAAUUUUGAGAUUUAACUCAAACAUUAAAUCAUAAUAAAAAGACUAAAUUCAUAAAAAAAUAAUUUAUAGGGACCUUUUAUAAAAUUUUACCUAAUAAUUAUAUUACGUAUGCCAAUAAAGUCAUCAUCUUCGAUGAAGCUUAGUAAAUUCAGUCUCAGAUUAACAGAAAAAAGAAAAAAAAACCCAUAAAAUUCCUCAAAGAAAACCCUCUCUUCCCGCGAAAAUCCUUCUCAAUUUAACAAGAGAAGGAAGUUUUUAAAGCCUUUUGCAAUAAAAUUUUGUUGGAAAGGGCUCAUGGGAAGGGUUCUACAUGAAACACCGAAUCCACCAUUGUCGUCGUCGACGGAAGGCGCCACCACGUCGUCGACGUCGGUGAUGAAGACGUUGAACGGGUCUCACCACUUCAAGAUCACGGGGUACUCGCAAUCAAAAGGUAUGGGGGUCGGAAAAUACAUAGCUUCUGAUAUGUUCAUGGUGGGUGGGUAUUUGUGGGCGGUCUAUUUUUACCCCGACGGUAAGAGCCCCGAAGAUAAUACCGCGUACGUUUCGUUGUUCAUUGCUUUAGCGAGCGAAGGGACGGACGUUAGGGCGCUUUUUGAGCUCACCCUUUUGGAUCAGAGUGGGAAACAGAGGCAUAAGGUGCAUAGCCAUUUUGGAAGGACGCUUGAAAGCGGUCCUUAUACUCUUAAGUAUCGUGGCAGCAUGUGGUAAGGGUUUUAUUUUGCAAUUUCAAUUGGAAUUACAGGGUGGGUUUUUGGGUUUUACGAUGAAUUUUCUUUAGUUGAUUGAAGUUUUGGUGGGUUUAAUCUUUAUUCUUCUUUUGUGACUUUUAUUGGGGUUUUAAUUAUCUUGCAAGAUAGUAAGAACUGCAUAAUGGGUUGUUCUGGUUCUUGUGCUUGUAAUCUUCAGGUUCACUUUGUUGUUUAAGGCUAGAGUCUAGAUCCUCUUCUCUUUUUUUUUACAUUUAUUGAGCAUUAGCCUUUAUGUUGGUUCUUAGGUGGCUAGGAUGUUUGCAUAACAAGUUUGUUGCCUAUGAAAUAGCAAUAUAAUUGCGGGAAAUUUUGGAGGAAUAAAUUAGCUUCAUUCCUGUGACAUACUUUUUUUAUAUAUGAAAAGUAUUUGGGGUAGUUGACAAGAAUAUAAUUUCACAUGAAUUAUGCUAAAAUUGGCUAUUGCACUAGAUUUUGUUAGCCACUAAGGCUGACCUUAAUUGCUAUUAUUAUUAGCAUUACUUUUUUGGUCAUUCUUUCCUUCUCCUAAUCUUAUUAAGAUUCCAUGACUUGUGAAUUUCGAUUUAUUUUGAAAUACAUGUAAUAUAUUGAGUAGAGAUUGUGGGGAUUAGUGAGAAUAAAGCGAAGUUAAUUCAGUCAUAUGUCUGCUUUUAUAUAUAUAUAUAUAAAAACAUGUGUUCUUGUCCGUUUUUUGGUUUGAGACUAGUCAUGUUUGGACCAGGGUGGUAUUCAAGUAAAACCUACCUAAUAGUGAUGGCUCCAGGACUUGAACUCAGUCCAAAUGCUUGGGCAAGAAGUCUACUCCACUUCUUCCAACCAUGCUUUUUUUAUUUUGAGUUUAGCAUGUCUAUAAAAAUUACUUCUUAUUAAAGUGUUCUGUUAAAUUUGAAGGAUUUCAGUUAUUUUUUUUAAAAUUUUUUGCAUAUUGCCUCCUGUUACUGUUUGUGUAGACAUGUUUUUCUUCAAAGCUACACUCUGGUUUCUUUUAUGCUCCAUCUCGAUCCAUACAGUUCAAACUUACUGCAGCUUGUUUAAUUUGGCAUCUUAGUAAAGCAUUUGGUUGCAAUCAAGUAUACAUUGUUGACCAAGACAUAUGCAACAACAUUAUUGCUAGCCUAAUCGAACAAUUCUAUAGUAUUGAUUACUUUACUUUUUUGAUUGUUCAUGAUGUCUGACCUUUACUAACUGGAUGAUAAAUGUUAUUAAGACAUAUGUGGGUUGCGUUAUAUCAGAUUUCAGUCUUAGCCUCUUGGCCUGUAGGUUCUUAGCACCCAAUUCCUGUAGGGGUAUUUGCCAAGUUCCGAGGUUUGGCUCCUCUUGUCUUCCCCCUGAAAUGAACAAAAAGAAGAAGCAUAUUUUAUUUAUUUCCCUCAUUUCUCUUGGUAUAUGAUAACCUUUGGUGAGUAAAGAAGUAAUUAGUUUGAUUUGCUGCAGGGGAUAUAAACGGUUUUUUAGAAGAACUCUUCUUGAGCAGUCAGACUACCUCAAAAACGAUUGCCUCUCUGUUCAUUGUAGUGUCGGAGUUGUUACGUCACAUACAGAAGGUCCUAAGUUCUACUCCAUAGCUGUUCCGCCUUCAAGAAUUGGUCAUCAUUUUGGACAAUUACUAAAAACUGGAAAGGGAACUGAUGUUAGCUUUGAAGUUGAUGGGGAAGUCUUUUAUGCCCACAAGUUGGUACUUGCUGCACGUUCGCCUGUGUUUAGGGCACAACUUUUUGGUCCUAUGAAGGAACAGAAUACAAAGCAGAUAAAAGUUGAAGAUAUUGAAGCUCCGGUUUUUAAGGUUCAUUCAAAUACCCCUCUUCUUAUGUUGGACAAGAACUCAUGCUACUUCUUGACCAAUGAUAAUGCAUUGGUGAUGGAUGCAAAGCAUUAACCUGCUGUGGAUAGCAUACACUGCCUAGGAUGCAUCAUGUCAACUCCAUUGAUAGCAUGCCUGAUGUUAAUAAUUAGUUGGAAACUUCUCCAUGCAAAUUAUAUGCUGGGGUGGCUGAUGCUUAUGCUUUUGAAGUCAAUUUGUGGCAUGUACUGUCUUAAUCUUUUAGUUAAUUGCUUCAUAUAACGCACAUGUAGAUCGUCAAUGGCUAUACACAAAAGUACAUUCCUGAAUGUGCAUUUCUUUACCUUUCUAAAAAUAAUGAUAUUCGAGCUUUAUUUGAAGGCUACAAAAUAUUUUACUCGUCAAGCUAAAGCAAUGUGACUAUAUAAAGUACGCUAUGGUCCGGGUUACUGAUACAGUAUUAUCUCUAUUGACUAUUCCUUAUCUUGCGCUUUGCAGGCCCUACUUCACUUUAUGUACUGGGAUUCUCUACCUGACAUGCAAGAGCUCACUGGUCUCGACUCCAAGUGGGUGACUACAUUGAUGUCUCAGCAUCUGCUUGCUGCCGCAGAUAGGUAUGGACUAGAAAGGUUGCGAUUGCUCUGUGAGUCCAAUCUUUGUGAGGAUGUUACCAUUAACACUGCGGCAACUACAUUAGCCUUGGCCGAACAGCACCAUUGUUUCCAGUUGAAAGCUGUGUGUCUCAAGUUCGUUGCAGUGCCAGAAAAUCUAAGAGGUGAGUGUCUCUUUAUGUUUUGAUAUGUACAUCAAUGUUGAAUUAGGGCUAUCCAUGCCCGAAAAUAAUUGCUUUUAGAUAGAAUGCAUAGCAAGUUAUCAUAUAGCUAUUCUUAAGUUUGUCUUCUUGUUAUGGGUCAUAAAUGCCACAGCUAUUCUCACAUAGAAGUCCCAUAUAGCCGGAUUGUGUCUUAGCCCUCGGGAUAUUAUGCAAUCAUUCUUCAUGCAAUUGAACAAAACACGACCUUAGGGUUUUCUAUCUCGAGCUUUUAUCAUAUAUUGUCGAACCUGAAACCCUUCAUUCAAGUACAGCUAUUCUGAAUGUCUCAUUUGGGAUUUCAUCAAGUCAUACAACUGCAAUUGCACUUUGGUUUAUACCAUCAUCAACAUCCAUAAUCUUUACAAGAUUCAUCCAACUCUUAGGUUUCUCUUGACUGAACCCCCAGCGUUUUUCUUUUGUCUUGGGCAGCUGUAAUGCAAACAGAUGGUUUCGUGUACUUAAAGGAAAGUUGCCCAUCUGUCAUGACCGAGCUGUUGGAGUAUGUGGCUAGAGUGAUUGAGCACUCGAUGUAUGUAUGCAAACAUGGGAUUGAACCCAUCUUUGAUGGAAGUGAUGCAAAUGGUAGGAGGGUGAAGCAACGGCUAUAGCUACAGCUUGGUACAGUUUCCUUACUAAUUAAAAGUAAAAUAAGAAAGAAGAAGAUAUGAAUGACCAAAAAUAGAUGAAAAUACAAUUGGAUUAGAAGAAUUCCUUUUUUUUUUUAAUUUUAUUUCAGUGUUGUAAGCUUGGGUAUUUGUAAGAGAUGUAAAUUUAGUUGUUCCUAUGGUUGCUCUGUAUUGGGAAGUGAUAUUUCCUCAUUAUAUAUUUGCGUUGUAGUUGUGUUUCAUCUUUAAAAUAUUUAUAUAUAACUUAUAAUAGGAUCUAAAUUUGUAUGUUUAAUAAUGCCUUUUAAUUGUAUUAUUAGGUCUACUUCAUUCAAUAUAUGUAUAUCAAAGUACAGAAAAAGGGGGCCAAAUAACCCCAAAUACAAAUCUGAAGAAAAACGAUAUGAAUGUCUGACCAAAAUGAAGUCAUAUCGGAUGAAAACAUGAGGGUAGCCUUUGUAUUGUAAAACUCGGAGUCUCCGGCGGUCGUAUAUUAGUGGCCUGUGGAAAAAUAAAGACAAAAGGUGUGAAGCUAAGUGGUGAUGAGAGGGGAAAAAAGAAAUGGUGAAGACGCGUGGUUGACACUGAGGUCGUAUUUGAACUCUGAUAGAAAUCAUAACAUUUCGAGAAUGAAUUAUGAUCCACGUGUGAUAGCAUAGAAAAUUAAAAAUUGAAUUAAAUAAUGCAUUAACGCAACAAUUAUAUCUUUUUUAACACUCGUAAUAUCAAAAAUCUCAAUCUCUACUUACAAGUUAAGCAAUUAAUUGGUGGGCGUCCACCCCCACCGUGUCUUAAAACAUUAACGAGCUCCUGCUCCCCGUGCCAUUUGUCACCUUCUCAUGCUUCUUAUAUGCUUCCCCAUUGAAAUCGCCGCCGUCCUCAUCCUCAUCCUCCUCUUCCUCCACCUCCUCGCAGUUUUCUUCUUCCGACGACAGUGGCACUAGCCAACAAGUCCCAUGCAAGUGGCCGUUCACGCAAACGAAAUACUCCAACCUCCCGUCACGUGACCCGAGUCGCCGGGCGGCGCUCUUGGGAACGAGCCGAGCCGCCGUCAUGCUCCAAACUCGGGUCCCGCAGUAAGGACACCUAACCCGGUCGUCGAACGCUACUUGCCGUCCGAUCAAGCAGGCUCGUGUGUUGGACCUGAGAAAUCCCCGGAAUACCCCUCGGUAGAUCCCUAAAUCGUCUUCUUUAUCCCCCACUGGGUGCUCACACGGGUCACUGACGAACAACAGAUCCGCCCGACAUUUUUUGGUCAAGAAGCUCCGACCCGAAGUCUUCGAGAACCGAGACGCACCCGCGAAAUGACCCGGAGAAGACCGACUCAGUUUGAAAUUGCGAGUCGACUCACAACCACAACAGAAAAACAUGAGCUUCGCGAGAGCAUCCCAUCCACCACCUAUUCUUCCACUAGGUGAGCCAUUAACCAAUGCCGAUACCAUGCGAGGCGCUCGAUAUACACAGAGCUUCCGCCAUAAUAACCGUUUCGCUAUAGCUCGAAGCUUACGGUUGACUGAAGCGGUCAAACAAAGGACCUGCAAAUCCCAUUUUAUUGACUCGAAAACGAGUAACAGUACACACUCGUUGAGUAUCCCCGAGUCAUCCGACUCGGUUUCUUGACUCAGUGGAUUAAGUCUUCGUCUCUGGGCGGCACUCAUUUCUAUUAGGGGGCGGAGGAGGAUCGGGGGAUAGCGAUGGUAAUUUAAAAGCGCCUAAAUACCAGUGUCUGAAACUCGAGCGAAAGACACGUGUCCAAAUGGAAAUGGAUAGUCUAUUGCCCUAGAUCAUGGGACACGUGGUGUGAUAUCAUUGGAAAGCUUCGACGCGUGGUGGAUUUGUAUUGCGCGAUGCAGGUGAUCGAGGAUCGAGAAUAACGUCAGCUGGUAAAUUGAGAUGUCAGGAUCAGCCUCCACGUGUCCAAUGAUUUCCCCGAAAUACGAGAUAUCUUUUUCAUGCCUCGAAAAUAUCUAGAUGGCUCAAACUUCAACGUGUUGAAUACAAGUUGAGUGCUCUUUUCUUUUCCUAAAUAAAAAAUAAUUUAGUUUGAUUUUUUUGGUUAAAUAAUAUUUUAUUCUUGAAUUUAUUAUUUAUGUCUUUUUUUUAAUGGAUAAUAUUAUAACCAAAUAAAAUAACUUCAAAAAAAUCUAUACUAUAAAUUAAUAAACAUAAUGUAGAGAAAAUGAUAUGAUUGUCUAUAAGUGGUAAAAGCACCUUCUACUUUUAGAGAUAAAUUUAGAUUAAAAUUCCAACUAGAAAUGAUAAUCACAAAUCUUUAAAAAAAAUUCAUCUUUACUAAAGUAAAACGUGAUGGAUUGAUUGCUCAGGUGAAGGUGAAAUCUUCAACGGCAAAGUUUUCUGAAAUUUCACUACUUAUGUUAAAUGACAAUAAUUUCAAAUCGCACACUUUUAAUAUGGAUUUUAAUAAGUUAAAAUAUAUCAUAAAUCUUUAUACUUAAUUAAUUUAUAUAAUAUUAAGGGGAUUUUUGAAAUAAUAUGAUUUUUUUUUUACAAAAAUAAUAUGAACUUUGCAUGAAAAUCCUAAAUUUAUAUGGCGGCAUGGCGAUUGUGAAUUUAAAAUUACAGGAAUUCUAUGUUUCUUUUUAAUACAAUCAUUAUCUUGUAGUCACUCAAAAUCAAUAGCCACCUUAAUGAUUUAGGAUUCUCGUGUAUAGUCCGUGUUAUUUUGAUAAUUAAAAUUUUCAUAUUAUUUCAAUAAAUUUUUUUUUCAUAUUAUUAGAAAAGGUCAAAAAAAAAUAGCUUAAAUUAUUUUGUAAGAGGAGAAAUAGUGGUGGGAUGACACGUGGAAACAUAUUAACAGACCGCGUGUUUGCUUCCAUUUAUGAAACGAUAGCUGUUGAUAAAAAAGGAAGCGGGAAAAGGCUUAUUUGACUCGUGAUCAGCACGUGGAUUGAAGAUUCUAAUUAUGGAUUGAAGUGAUAAUUCUAAAUAAUAAUAUAUUAAAAUACAAGAAACUUAAUUAAAAAUAAUUAUAAUAUGAUACUUAUAUAAACAAUACAAUUAAUACAGAUGUGAUAUCAAUAUAUAAAUAUUUUAAAAUUUAAGAGAAAUUAUACAAAUGGUCAUUUAAUUGUACUUGCGUUCCUGUUUUGAUCACUUAGCUUUAAAAAAUUUCAAUGUAGACACUAAUAUUUAAAUUUAUUCCUAUUUUUGUCACCUGUCAUUAAAUUGUUCUAACUAGUAUAAUAACACAUUCAGUCCUUAAUAUUUACAUAUUAUAUCAAUUUGAUCUUAUUGCCAAAUCAUUCAAUAAAUAUAACUUUUUACACUUAUAAAUUCUAUCAAUUUAAUCCUCAAACUUUCUAACUAAAUGUUUCAGCUUUUAAAAUAAAAAAAAAAAACAUUCUGCAUCAAUAAAUUUGUACCAAAACAAAUUCUGCAAUAAACAAGUGGUAAAAAGCUCUAUAUUGGUAUUAAAAGUAACUCAAUAUUUUCUUUUCUAAUUUACAAUAUUCAAAUUUAAAUAUUUAAAUAUUAAAAUUUUAUCAGUUAACUAAAUAAAUAUAUGAUCUGUAUGCAACGUAAUGGAUAUCCCAUGAAAAAGGGACACCCUUUUUGUCUUAAGUACAAUUUUAUUAAUAGGGUUAUUUAAAGCUAUAUUUCUUCAAGGUUUAAUUGUGUCCAUACAACCCUUCUUAACAGGUCUCCUUAACAUUCAAAUGAAAUCUUUGAUGACUGAUUCAAUAAUCAAAAAGUUGUUGGUUGUAGAUGAGUAAUUUCGAAAAUUUGUCGAUAAAGGAAUUGGUUUGAAAAGUGCUCAUUAGUUGGUUUUAUAAAUUUAUAGACUUGUUGAAUUUUAAUUAAGAAUGUAAGUAUUGUGAACUAAAUAUGUUAUUAUACUAUUUUAAAAAUAAUUUUUUAUUAUCAAUUUAACUACGAAUGACUAAAAUAAGAGUUAAUUCAAAUAUUAGUGCCUAAAUUAAAAAAAUUUAAAGUUGAAUGACAAAGCAGGAAGUUGGAGAUCAUUUGUAUAGUUUAACUUAAAUUUCACAUUACCAAAUUUAUAUAAAUAAAAAAAUAAUAUUAAAAAAAAAGAUAUUUAUUUGUAUUUUUUUAAUGAAUUAUAAUAAUAGAAUAAAGUUCGAAUAAUAAAUGAAACUCGAACCCAUGUAACACCUAUAAUUAUUAUUAAAAACAAAAACAAGAGUGAGGAGUUAGCGAAGCUAAACUAACUUUUUAUGUUGGUUGGGAUAGGAGCAAUUUAUUACAUUAUGAGGUUCGAGCAGCUUUUCAGCAUAAAUGGGUGCCCACUCAUUUAUAGCUCAUAAAUAGAUUCUUUACCUUUUUCCGAGCUAUAAGUUAUGAUUUUGAUUUUUUUUAUUACUAGUUGAUUAACGUAAAAUAUAAAUAUAAAAAUAAUAAAAUUAAACAGUUUAGUGAUUAUUUAUAAUUAAGAGAUAAAAAAGAAUAGUUGGAUAAUCUCUACGGUAGUUUAUCCUUAAAAUAUUAAAAAAUAAUUUAUUUGACAGUUUAAUUAAUUUUUUAGUCUAGAUAAAUUAAUUUGUACCAAUUUUCAAAUUAAUUAGCUCAAAAUAAUUCGAUGAAUCAAUUUUCAAUCCAAUCAACUAACUUAGAGAAAAGUAUUAAAUUAACUGAAUUUUUAAUUCUUUUUUAUAAAAUAUAAUGAUUUAUUUAAUUGGACCAACAUAUCAAUAACUUAAUUGACCAGAAAAAUGAAUGAAUCCGAGGCAACAAACCUCUGCUAAAUUCUAUCCCAACCCUCUUAUAAUAACCCUCCGUAUGAUUGUAUCAACAAUCUUUUAUUUCUAAUUUAGCGAAAUUAUAUUGAUAUAAUUAGUGCAUAUUUUAAAUAAUAUCAAGUCAUCUUUUAAAAAAUAUAUAUUAAUUAAUUAUGAAUUGCAUCCCUUGAUUUAAAAAAAAAUUAAUAGCAAGAUUUAAUACUAUUAUUUAAUUAAACUAACAUUUCAAUUUUGGAUUAAUUUUUUAGUAAAAACUAAAAAAGGAUGGAUUUUAUAAUUAGAGCAAAAAAUGUGGGCACAGCUUCGGCAGAUCGCUUAGCCCCGUUCAUCUUCGGCGCAAGAGCGCUCGAUCAGUGAGCUAUUACGCACUCUUUCAAGGGUGGCUGCUUCUAGGCAAACCUCCUGGCUGUCUCUGCACCCCUACCUCCUUUAUCACUGAGCGGUCAUUUAGGGGCCUUAGCUGGUGAUCCGGGCUGUUUCCCUCUCGACGAUGAAGCUUAUCCCCCAUCGUCUCACUGGCCGACCUCAACCCCUAUUAUUUU
rnacentral:lncRNA from 1 species